rnacentral:rRNA from 1 species
UACGAAGGGGACUAGCGUUGUUCGGAAUCACUGGGCGUAAAAGCGCACGUAGGCGGAUUUGUAAGUCAGGGGGUGAAAUCCCGGGGCUCAACCUCGGAACUGCCUUUGAUACUGCGAAUCUUGAGUCCGAUAGAGGUGGGUGGAAUUCCUAGUGUAGAGGUGAAAAUUCGUAGAUAUUAGGAAGAACACCAGUGGCGAAGGCGGCCCACUGGAUCGGUACUGACGCUGAGGUG